GACUGACAAAGGUCUGAGACCAACUUCUUGAGAUCAGUCAUCUUGAGCCAAGACGGAAGAACAUUUGAUUCUUUGCUAAGGUUCUUAACCUGGAGUAACUAACUCAUCUGUACUGUAUUCAUAUUAAGAGUGUUUGAAGAGGAAAAUAAUACUGAAACAGUGACGGACUCUUCCUUGGCACCCUCUUCUUGGUCUGCAACUGAAGAAUGUAAGCAAGUCAGCUUGGUUCCCUCUCUUGAUAAAUGUAAAAUCUGUGGCAUUCACUUGGCAGAUCAACCUAUUUCAAAA
rnacentral:lncRNA from 1 species